rnacentral:rRNA from 1 species
UACGAAGGGGGCUAGCGUUGUUCGGAAUUACUGGGCGUAAAGCGCGCGUAGGCGGAUUGCUAAGUCAGGGGUGAAAUCCCGGGGCUCAACCCCGGAACUGCCUUUGAUACUGGUAGUCUCGAGAUCCGGAAGAGGUGAGUGGAAUUCCGAGUGGUAGAGGUGAAAUUCGUAGAUAUUCGGAAGGAACACCAGUGGCGAAGGCGGCUCACUGGUCCGGUACUGACGCUGAGGUGCGAAAGCGUGGGGAGCAAACAG